ACCAAAAGUAAAUAUCUCCAUUCCAAUCUCUCCGAAUGCAUCUUCUUCACUAUUCUUUCAAUUAUUUUCCUUUAAAAGAAAAAAAAAUUUCUCUCUCUCCAUACAACAACACUUUCUCUCUCUCUAUAGAUCCGAUCAUCGUCUUCUUUCGAUCACCGUCUUCUCUCAACCAUCGUCUUCCUCCAAUCACCAUCUUCUUCAACUUUCUUCUCCAGAUGCGAUAAGAUUAGAGUUAAAGGUAGAGGUAGAGGUGGAGGUGGUGGUGCGAGACGCUAGUGUGGGUAUAAUGGUGGCGGUACAUAGUUGCUAGAAAGGGCUGUAAUGUAGCCCUUUUUUCCUAUCUAUCUCUCUAUGGUGUCGGAGAUGGUGAGGUGGGAGAUGUUGUGAAAACUAAUGGUAGUUGGUGGUUGUGGCAGUGGUGCAUUGCAGGAGGUGACGGUGGUGGUGUAUCACAAGUUUUUAUGAUGGUGGGUUUUGGUGUAGGUGGUGAUCAUGGGGGUACGAGUGGUUGUGGUGGUCAGGGGCGGAGCCACCUUAGGUCCAGUGCAGGCAAAUGCCUGCACUGAAAGCCCUGAAAUUUUAAGAGUGCAGAGAGAGAUAUAUACAGAAUAUAGAGAGAGGAAGGUAAGAGGGAUAGGAGAAAUGAGAGAAAUUCCUCCACCAAAUUAAACAAACCAUUUGACGCCUGCACAAGCCCUGAAAUUUUAAGAGAUAUAGAGAGAGAGAUAUAUAGAAAUAUAUAGAGAGAGGAAGGUAAGAGGGAUGGGAGAAAUGAGGAGUCUGACAAUUUUGGUUAGUGGAAUUCAAAUUUGACAAGUGCAAGUGACAUUUGUGCAUGUGAAGGGAAGGGAAGAAACCACAUGUGCAGAAGAACCUCUCUGCAUGGCAUUGUGGGUCUGUGUGCU
rnacentral:lncRNA from 1 species